UACGUAGGGGCCUAGCGUUGUCCGGAUUUAUUGGGCGUAAAGAGCUCGUAGGCGGUUCGGUAAGUCAGGUGUGAAAUCUCCACGCUCAACGUGGAGGCACCACCUGAAACUGCCGUGACUCGAGUCCGGUAGGGGAGUGUGGAAUUCCUGGUGUAGCGGUGAAAUGCGCAGAUAUCAGGAGGAACACCAGUGGCGAAGGCGGCACUCUGGGCCGGUACUGACGCUGAGGAGCGAAAGCGUGGGGAGCGAACAGG
rnacentral:rRNA from 1 species